rnacentral:misc_RNA from 1 species
GCAAACUUGGUCAUUUAGAGGAAGUAAAAGUCGUAACAAGGUUUCCGUAGGUGAACCUGCGGAAGGAUCAUUAACAAUUGUCCACCAUAAUGGAUAAUUUUUAUCCAUAUCCACCUUGUGUGAAUUCAUUGAAAUGUUUAUUGGCAGGUUAGGAUGUUUCCAUUGGUGAAACUUUCUGUGGGUUUUUUGUCGACUCGGCCUGCCAAUUUUAUUAUGUUUAAACAUGUCUAAAUAAUUACUGGUCUGAAAUUGUAUAUUUUUAUAUAAUAAAAUACAACUUUCAACAACGGAUCUCUUGGCUCUCGCAUCGAUGAAGAACGCAGC